rnacentral:rRNA from 1 species
UACGUAGGGGGCUAGCGUUGUCCGGAAUCAUUGGGCGUAAAGCGCGUGUAGGCGGCCCGGUAAGUCCGCUGUGAAAGUCGGGGGCUCAACCCUCGAAAGCCGGUGGAUACUGUCGGGCUCGAGUGCGGAAGAGGCGAGUGGAAUUCCUGGUGUAGCGGUGAAAUGCGCAGAUAUCAGGAGGAACACCGAUUGCGAAGGCAGCUCGCUGGGA